GCUAGAAUAAUGUGUUUUUCAUUAGAAAAUUUCAAAGGCUUUGAUUAUCAACCUUUAUUGAAUAGUUCUUGUUAGUAUUAGGCAUUUCGAAAUAAUCAGAUUUAUCCCUAAAAGAUAAAUACAGUUAUUGAGAAGGCCGUUUAUGGCUUUGUUUUUUGAGAUUAUAAAUAGCUACGAAGUGCAAACCGUUUUCCGGAAUUAUGCGGUUCUAUCGUUACGGUUCUAGGGUCAAUAAUACUUGAGCUUUGAUGCGCAUGUGCUUGGUCUUUUCAACUUCCCAUCUUGUUCAGUGCAGACGAAAUCCCCUCCCUUCCCUCCCUUAAAUACUAGGAAAUCGUCAUGACUUGUACAUGUACACCUAUGAAGAAGGCCAUCAUGGACUUUGCUGUGAGAAUGUGAUAAUCCUGACUGUUAAGUUACAAUUUCAGAAAUCGUCGUGGCUUAUACACUGUCAGAUGAAGAAAGUUAUGGACUUCUAUUUGCUGUGUGAAUGUGAUAAUCCUGACUGUAGUGUUACGUGACAUUUUCAGUAAUCGUCGUGGCUUAUACGCUGAUGAAGAAAGCUAUGGACUAUGCUUUGUGAAUGUGAUAAUCCUGACCUUUUCGUGUUAGCGCAAUUUUGACAAGUAACCAUUUGCUGAGGGUGAUACUGUUAUCUCCAGGUCCCCCAGCUAUGAUAUGGUUUGUUUGAUAUUUGUGAAUGCUAUGCUGCCAAAAUGCUUACCAGUUGUAAGAUCGGCGCAUAGGUUAUGAACAUGCCAGUUGCAUGUUGCUGAUGUUUGAAUGAACAUGCCAGUUGCAUGUUAUCUGUGAAUGUAAUUUGUAAUAAAAGCCAUGACAGUUCCGCCAA